UGUGAGUGUGUGAGUAUGUGUCUGAGAGUGUGUGAGAGUGUGUGAGUAUGUGUGUGUCAGUGUGUGUGAGUGUGUGUCUGUGAGUGUGUGAGUAUGUGUCUGUGAGUGUGUGUCAGUGUGUGUCUGUAAGUGUGUGAGUAUGUGUCUGUGAGUGUGUGUGUCAGUGAGUGUGUGAGUAUGUGUCAGUGUGUGAGUGUGUGUGUGUCAGUGUGUGUCAGUGUGUGUCUGUGAGUGUGUGAGUAUGUGUCUGUGAGUGUGUGAGUAUGUGUCUGUGAGUGUGUGAGUAUGUGUCAGUGUGUGUGUCAGUGUGUGUC